CUGCGAGUUCGCGGGAGAGUAAGUUAUUGCCAGGGUUUUUAUUUUAUACUUUAAACAUUGAUUUUAUUUUUUAUGUUUUUAGAUGUUCAUGUUUUUGAAUGUUUUAUUUAAAUAAUAUAAAAAAUAAAAUAUAUAUUGACAUGGAUUAAACAAAGAUAUAUAUUAUUCUAUGUUGCAUAAGCAAAUUGGCAAAAUAGAGAUGGAAGAUAAA
rnacentral:misc_RNA from 1 species